rnacentral:rRNA from 1 species
GGGGGCGAGCGUUGUCCGGAAUUACUGGGCGUAAAGGGCGCCUAGGCGGUUUUUUAAGUCCGUUGUGAAAGACCGAGGCUCAACCUCGGGAUGUCAGCGGAGACUGGAAGACUGGAGUGACGGAGAGGAGUGCGGAAUUCCUGGUGUAGCGGUGGAAUGCGUAGAUAUCAGGAGGAACACCGAUGGCGAAGGCAGCACUCUGGCCGAAGACUGACGCUGAAGCGCGAAAGCUGGGGGAGCGAACGGG